rnacentral:rRNA from 1 species
CCUACGGGAGGCAGCAGUGAGGAAUCUUGGUCAAUGGCCGGAAGGCUGAACCAGCAAUGCCGCGUGCAGGUCAGUGCCCUAUGGGCGUUAAACUUCUUUUGUGCGGGAGCAAUAAUGGUCACGUGUGGCCAGACGAGAGUACCGUACGAAUAAGCAUCGGCUAACUCCGUGCCAGCAGCCGCGGUAAUCCGGGGGAUGCAAGCUUUAUAGGGUUGUAUUGGGUGUAAAGUGUGUGUAGGCGGGAAAGCAAGACAGAGGUGAAAACCACGGGCUCAACAUGUGGCCGGCAUUUGAAACUGUUUUUCUUGAGUACUGGAGAGGCAGACGGAAUUCCUAGUGUAGGGGUGAAAUGCGUAGAUAUUAGGAGGAACACCAGUGGCGAAGGCGGUCUGCUGGACAGCAACUGACGCUGAGGCGCGAAAGCGUGGGGAGCAAACAGGAUUAGAUACCCCUGUAGUC